CCCUUAGAUGUCCUGGGCCGCACGCGUGCUACACUGAUGCAUACAGCGAGUACUCCCAGCUCCGAGAGGCUGCUGGUAAUCAGCAAUAUGCAUCGUGAUGGGGAUAGAUCUUUGGAAUUAUAGAUCUUGAACGAGGAAUUCCUAGUAAUCGCAGGUCAUCACCCUGCGUUGACUAAGUCCCUGCCCUUUGUAUACACCGCCCGUCGCUCCUACCGAUUUCGAGUGAUCCGGUGAAUCAUUCGGACCGCGGCCCCUAGGCAUGCGGAAAGUCUAGUAAACCAUAUCACUUAGAGGAAGGAGAAGUCGUAACA
rnacentral:rRNA from 1 species